rnacentral:rRNA from 1 species
AUGUAAGGGAGCUGACGCCUGCCCGGUGCUGGAAGGUUAAGGAGAUCUGUUAGAGGAAUCGAAGCAGUGAACUUAAGCCUCAGUAAACGGCGGCCGUAAUUAUAACGGUCCUAAGUUAGCGAAAUUACUUGUCGGGUAAGUUCCGACCCGCACGAAAGGCGGAACGAUUUGGGCACUGUCUCAACAACAGACUCGGUGAAAUUGUAAUUCCGGUGAAGAUGCCGGAUACCUGCGACAGGACGGAAAGACCCCAUGGAGCUUUACUGUAGCUUGACAUUGGGUCUUGGUACUACAUGUACAGGAUAGGUGGGAGGCUUUGAAACCAGGACGCCAGUUUUGGCGGAGCCAUCCUUGGGAUACCACCCUUGUAGUACUCGGAGUCUAACCCUCUGUCUCUUUUACGGAUC